rnacentral:rRNA from 1 species
UACGGAGGAUGCAAGCGUUAUCCGGAAUGAUUGGGCGUAAAGCGUCCGCAGGUGGCAAUGUAAGUCUGCUGUCAAAGCGUCUGGCUCAACCAGAUAAAGGCAGUGGAAACUACAUAGCUAGAGUAAGGUAGGGGUCGAGGGAAUUCCUGGUGUAGCGGUGAAAUGCGUAGAGAUCAGGAAGAACACCGGUGGCGAAAGCGCUCUGCUGGACCUUAACUGACACUGAGGGACGAAAGCUAGGGGAGCGAAUGGG